GACAGAGGGGGCAAACGUUGCUCGGAAUUAUUGGGCGUAAAGCGCACGUAGGCGGCAUUGCAAGUCGGAUGUGAAAUCCCUCGGCUUAACCAAGGAAGUGCAUCCGAAACUGCAGUGCUUGAGUACUUAAGAGGAUCGCGGAAUUCCCGGUGUAGAGGUGAAAUUCGUAGAUAUCGGGAGGAACACCAGUGGCGAAGGCGGCGAUCUGGGAAGAUACUGACGCUGAGGUGCGAAAGCGUGGGGAGCAAACAGG
rnacentral:rRNA from 1 species